CGUGCUCCUGAACCUGGCCUCAAGGAAGAGCAGGGUUUGGAGCAGGAAGGAGCGAAGGGAAGCAGGUCUACCUUUCUCUUGCAGUAAAUCCCUCUGCUUUUCUACUCUGAACUGUGGCUUCCUUCCAUCUCUGGCAUGGCUCGUGGCUGGCUGCAUCCUGGAGUUGGGGAGCAGGUUCUGGUCGCUUCCCCCCUCCUCCCCCCAGUUUCCCUCGAUUUCUCAUUCCAGAAAUAUCUCCCUUUUAUGCUUGAGAGAUAGCGGAGCUGCUGCUUGGCCGCGUGGCCAGGCACACGGGGUGGGGAGUGUUUUGCUGCCUCCAUGAGGCAUCAAUUACCGUUGGGAAGAAUAACCUAUUUCUGCUAGCGGUGGUAUGGCAGAAAUGUCUGACAGCUGGGUUCAUUCACAUGUUCAAAAGCAGAGACGGGGGAGAGAUUUCCUGCUGUUCUCUGGGAUGUACUGGGUUAUGGCGCUUUGAAACUCCAAGCUGAGGCUUUCAGAGUGGCAAAUACCUCGUUGAGAUAUUACUGGGGGUAAUUCAGCUGCGUGGGAAGGAGGGUGGAAAGUUCAGCAUCUCUUGCUGCUCCUUGCUGCACAUGCUGUGCUGCCAGUGCCCGCUGGGCGCAAGCCUUGGUCUGGUGAGGCAGGAGGAUUUUCGGCUGGCUUCCUGAAGUUAGCCAAAUAACCUCCCCCCUUCCAAAGAAAACAAAACCUCUGCUGCUCUGUAACAGUGGAAUUGCAAGAAACUAAGCCAAAAAUCUCAGGCAUUUAAAUAAGCAGUAAAAAAAAAAAAAAAAAAAAAAAAAGAUCCUUCCUUUCAUCUUGUUUACCUCUUGGUUCCUGCUCUGUCAGGGGCACUGUCCCUCUCUCAUCUCAAAGUCUCAGAGAAAAGCUGAAAACAAAAUGUACCUGUGUACAUUCAUCUCGUCCAGUGGUCUCUGCCUGCUCCUUGUACUCCUGAUGCUGCUGUCACAGGUGCGUGGUUGGAAACCUGCUCUCCUCUAACACCAGGCUCACGGGGAUUAUAAAGCAGGCUGAGGAGCUUGAGGAUUUGUCUCUUCCAAGAGUGUUUCCUGGCAGCUGGACAUGCACGGGGAGGAGGGGUGCCCCGUGGCUUCGUUUAAGGGGCUUUCUCCUCUUCCUGCCCGCAAGAUGUGUGCAAAACACUUGCAUGGCUGCAGGGCCAAGUGGUGAGAGGUAUUUCCGGGCCUUGCUUUGCUUUUUGCUUGCAGAGUUGCCUUUGGCUGUAGGACACAAGGAGGCACAGUUAGCAUGCACAAGUGCUAGCUGGUGUAGGAGGCUUCCUCGCCGCUUGGCAGCAGUGCAGGGUUCAGGUGAAGUUCCUCCUCCAGCUCCACCUGGCUUGCUCUGAGGUCCCCGGAGGUGGCCCUGGGAUGUGGACGUGGUACCAUGGUCCUCCUCAGCCUUUGUUCUCUGUACAUGCUAGGUGGGUACCAGACAGCGGUUUGGUUUGGUUUGCUUUGGGGCUUUGUUUGUUUGUUUUUAUUGAAAACCCAAAUGACAAAACAAACAAACAGAACUGAAGUCAUUACACAUUUCACUUCUGCAGUUUCCUUGCCCCCCAGGGAUUACCUGUCAGCCAGCGAUGUGCCUUUACAAAAAGAAAAAAGAAUCAUACUUUGUUCUCUAAUCUUAAUUUAUAAACAGCUGCUUAUGUUCUCGCUCUUAAUUUUAUUAAUUGAUUAAACUCAGCUACUACUGUCCUCUCUGCUAAUCUAAAACAAAUUGCUCCAUCUGGGCAGAAAAACAACUUUUAUUAAAUAUUAGUGUACCACUGACUUUCUGCCAGCCCUGUAUAAUUUCCCCUUUGUUCAAGGGAACUAAGAGUUCAGUUAUUAUGUUUGCACAUUGGAGUGCAAGGUACAUGGCUCAUUUAUUCUGAAACUUCUGAUAAGCACUUGUAAAAUCAAUCAAGCAUUGGUUUGUGCAUUACCAGUCACUACAAAUCGUGUUGAAUUUCCCUGGGAAAGGGAAGAGGGAAGUGUUCCACCUGUUCCUGCACAGCAAGUGCUGUGAAACGUUGCUCCUGAUAUGGGACAAAAACUUGCUGGAACUCCUGUCGCUGCUGCUUUGCGGGCGAUUUAACGCCCUGUCGAGGCACAGAGCGGUUUAAUGGAGCCACCAGCUCCCUCCCCUCCCUGCUGCCUGUGUCUGUAUUUCCUGACUUCUGUGUGCCGUACCCCGUCUGCUCUGUGGUGCUGUUUGCUUUUCUGUUGCCAAUUUCACGUUGCACACUAAUCACGACGAGUUUCUUUUAACAAAGUAAAAAGAAACUCUACCCGCGGGGCCCCGCAGGUCACCCAGCUGCUAGGGGCUGCGUUAGCUGCGAGCACCCUGCGGUUUCCCCAUCGCCUUCGCUGCAGAGCAUCGCUCUGGCAGGAUGCAGGAGGCACCGCCACCCCGCAGGGCUCAGUACGGGUUUUCCUGGUACAGGUCUCAGCCCUGCGGUGCCUCCCCAGUUGCAGAAUCAGAACAGCUUGGUUUGGAAGGGACCUCAAAGUUCAUCCAGUCCCAACCCCAUCAGAGAUGGAAGAGCACAGAACCGGGCUGUGCCGUGCUGCUGCGACGCAGAAAAGCUCCCAGGCCUGUUUGACCUGUGCUGCAGAGGCUUCCUAGGCGCUGGGGGCAGCCCCAAAGCCACGAGGUGCUGCAUAUUUGGGAGCUGGGCAUGCAGCAAGGGCUGUUGGCCUGCAGCUGAGGAAAAUGCCGUCAAAAGCUUGUGUGUGGCAUGGCCAAAGUGUUCGCGAGGGGCUGUGGGUGUGCAAGCAUGGCUGCUGCUUUCUCUGCCUGGCCUGGCUGCGGCGCAGCUCCAGACCUUCAGCUACAACCCCUGCAUCAACCAGAAACACGAAGUCAAAACUUGUGCUGCUUCUCUUUCCAGCUAAUUAGCAAGCAAACAGCUCUUUGGGGGAUGCUAAAAUAGAGCUGCCUGGCCCGAGUGAAGCCCCAGGACAAUCACUUGCGCAACGUCUAGACGAGUCUUUACAAAACUGUCAAGGAGCAUGGUCGUUUGGGUGUGCAGUAGGAAAGGAGGCGUACCUCGCUCCGGUGCUCCAGCGAUCUGAGCAGCCUGCAGAUGGGCAGGGCCGGUGGCGUUAGCUGCCAGGGUGGUGUCAGUGCAGAGCGCUCCCCUCGCACCCCUGCGCCCAUCCCUGGCACUCGAGGUGCAGAGGGAUGGUCUGAGCGGUGAUGAAGGCGGGAUACCCGUUUCCAGCACCCCAGGGAGCAUGUUUACGGGUAAGUAUUUGCACCACAAUUAACUUUGCGUAUUCGAGAGUUUCUUUGGCGUGGUCCAAGCUGCAGGUUCUGAAGCUGUUCUGGUUGUGUUCUGCCUCAGGGCUGAGGUGAUGCUGCCGGAGCUCGGAGGCCUCCUUACAGUUGUCAUGGAUCUCCCAGCUGCUCCCAGUUUGCACCAAAGUAACCCUGGACUCUGUGGGGGCAAUUAAGAGCUACAAGACAGCAAGACCUUGCCUGGCCUGUCCCAGCCAGCUGAGCAUUGUGUGCUAGCUGGUGUUCUUGCAGGUGAAGCCCACAAGCUGACACAGCGCAUCGUCCUGUGCUCCUCCUAGAAGCUGUAGGUCAAACAGCAAAGCCUGGGGGACACGGGACUCUGAGAGGAGUUCGGGCACCAGUUCUGUGCUGAAGAACACAGCAAUGACUUUGAGGGAGCAGGAAGAGUGUUGUGGCAACAAAAUGCAUUCCUUUUACUUUAAGCUCUGUCCCUUGUCUCUUCCCUUCCCCUCCCAGGUUCCAGGAUUUCAGCCCCAGCCAGCCGUAUUUGGGACGGGAACGCAGGAUGUCUAGGUUGUAUUCCUGUCACACCGAGCUGACAUAAAAGAUGGGAGUUGGUUAAAAUAAUACCAAAGUGUGGCUCGUAUGUGCCUCCUUAUUUCUGCUUACAGUGAAGCUGUCUCUGGUUUUCAGCUGCAUCUCCUAAAAUCUGCAGGACCCAGCUCACCAAGGUACCAAGUCAGGACUUGUGCCUGAGGACAAGGCCCAGAGCAGUGACCUCUGCGUGCUGGCUGGGUGCAGGAAGGGGCAGCAGAAGUGAAACUUUUAUUUAUUUUGAAUUGUUUACUGGAGCAGAAAUAAAGCUCAAGGAUGCUCCCAUGUUAAAAGUAAAUUUGCAAGUCUUUUCUCUGGGUCUUCUGUAGUUGUAUAUUUUAAUCCAGUUAAUUGUGGUAAAAGUCUUUUAUGCUGUUAAUUCGCACAGUAGUAGAUUAUGCUGUUAUGAUGCACUUCUAGCUUUAAUGAACAGUUUUACACAAUAAUAAAUCUGGGUUUAAAACAAA